rnacentral:rRNA from 1 species
UACGGGGGGGGCAAGCGUUGUUCGGAAUUACUGGGCGUAAAGGGCCAGUAGGCGGCCAACUAAGUCGGAUGUGAAAUCCCCAGGCUUAACCUGGGAACUGCAUCCGAUACUGGAUGGCUUGAAUUCGGGAGAGGGAUGCAGAAUUCCAGGUGUAGCGGUGAAAUGCGUAGAUAUCAGGAGGAACACCGGUGGCGAAGGCGGGUCUCUGGGCCGAUACUGACGCUGAGGAGCGAAAGCGUGGGGAGCGAACAGG